rnacentral:tRNA from 1 species
UCCAGGGUAGCCUAGUGGACAUGGCAUCUUCCCGGUAAGCGGAACAUUGUGGGUUCUAUUCCCAUCCCUGAAC